GUAAUACGUAGGUGGCAAGCGUUAUCCGGAAUUAUUGGGCGUAAAGCGCGCGCAGGUGGUUUCUUAAGUCUGAUGUGAAAGCCCACGGCUCAACCGUGGAGGGUCAUUGGAAACUGGGAGACUUGAGUGCAGAAGAGGAAAGUGGAAUUCCAUGUGUAGCGGUGAAAUGCGUAGAGAUAUGGAGGAACACCAGUGGCGAAGGCGACUUUCUGGUCUGUAACUGACACUGAGGCGCGAAAGCGUGGGGAGCAAACAGGAUUAGAUACCCUGGUAGUCCACGCCGUAAACGAUGAGUGCU
rnacentral:rRNA from 1 species